rnacentral:rRNA from 1 species
AGGUCCGAGCGAGUAAGGAGAGAGAGAUAGGGCUUGAGGGAGGUGAGCUAGGGGAAACGGCGGUGGUACCAGCAGCCUACCAAGGCCGGCCGAGGCCGCCGGGGGUAGCUGCGCGACCGGGAGAUACCGAAGGGGAGCUCGCCGAGAUAGGUAGAUGGGUCGCCCAAAGAAGCUAACGAAGUAGGAGCAGAGCAAGGGAACCGGAAAUCCCAGAACCACCACCACCGCCUAGAACGACGGCGGCUGGAAGACCAGCAGCACCCCCAAGUAGGCCGUGGAGAUCGCUGAGUGGCACCGUGUAGCCACGGGGACCCCACCACAGGGGCAUGCCACUACAGGAACCCCACCGCGGUGGCACGGGCUGCGAGUGGAUCAGCGACGCCACCACGAGCCACCACCACGAGGCCGCCGAAGGUCUGGGAGAGGAUCAACACCACUACCAGUGUGGUGUCGGCACCACACCAACUCGGAGACGACGCCGAUGUUUAAAGGAAACCAGGGCUCUGGCGUCAACUUGGUCACUAACUGAUAAAGUGGAAGCUUCCGGGCAAAGACAGACGUCUAGUUUGUCUUCGGUCUCCUAGGGCUCCUACUAAGAUGUACCUCAAGCUGAAACUCCUCAUCAAUCCUCCAGGGUCCAACCUCCGGAACGGAAAAUCUAGCAACGAUAAAAACACGAUCGGAAAAAUUCCGUUUGAACAAAUUGAAUGCAGACAUGAAUCUAUAAAAACGAAGGCGACUAAGAACACAAAAGCUCGAAUACAUAAGCUCGGUAGCUCCGGGAACCGAACAUUAUAUUUCCAACAUAAUAAAAAUAAACACAGUAUCUCAACACAACACUAUAGUAGG